UCCAUAUCAGUUGCGUUUUGUUAUACCAC
rnacentral:sRNA from 1 species